GCAGGUUUGGUGGAGUGCCCAAAAAAGAUUUUAUUGUUCACAGAGACCGCAUGGUCUGAGGGCCUGGAUCCAAAGAUGCAAGGACAUGUCCUCCACAGGGUUUUCGCCUACUGUGAUACAAAAGAAUGGCUCAUGAUCUCCUCCACGGGGUAACCAAUCAUGAAAGAACUUCUGGAUAAAGAACAUAGUUUCUGGAUGUCUUCUGUCUAAGACUGCACAAACUUCUGAUGGAAGAGGUGCCAGAGACGAAGAUGCUUGGAUAGCAGGAGAGCAGAUGGCAACUGAGCUCACAGUCCUCCUAUGCCAGAGUAGCAUCUAUUCAUGGAAACCUACAAUUCUGACUGCCAAAAAUGAGCUUCAGAGUUCAGAAGACAAGUCUAGGGCGAUCUACAGGAAACAGCGGUUCUUGGAGCUUCUCGUUUUCCCCACUGGUCUCUGUGCUUCAGAUAACGUCAAGACUUUACCAAGCUCGAAGAUUUAGUGGGUCCUCAGAAAAGCAAGCUAUCUGUGACGUAAUCCUCAUAUGCUGUGGACAGAAAGUAAGGGCAGAGAAGUAUAUUACAAUGAUUCUUUUUUUUUUCCUAAUUCUGAAAAUAAUUUCACAACUACUGUCAGAAAGAUGUAAGCCUGCAAUGUCACAGACACUUUUCCUUAAUUUCUGCAUUUUUGCAAGGGAGUUUAGAUGCAAUCUGACAGCAACCAAAACUUUUUUUCACAUCAGAAAAGAAAACUAUAGCCAAGGAAAUGCCUAAACAAAUGGUAGUCAUUGAUUGCUGUCCUUUAGUUUCUUUUAAAUGUAAAGAGUAAAAGUUGAAUGAUUUUCUUAAAUAAUUCUGAAAAGUAUGUGGC